AAUACAGACAUCGGCUGCUGCAAAAGAAAAAAGAACGGUUUGCUGUUAAAAGUUUUGUGAUGGAUGAAUGUGUCAAAAGCGUUUCUCUUUUUAAUUAAACAAAGUAUCUCUACUUUCUUUGGAGUGCAAUUAUUUUUACGUUUUACUUCCGUCAAAGUUAAACUUACCAUAAUGAAGCGGAUGAAGUUUGCACACGGUGAAGGUCACACUGAUCUUACUUAUUCAGAAGAUGGAGCAAACAUUAUAACAUGUGGUGCAGAUGGAAUUAUCGUGUUUGGAAAGGCCACGAGGAUGAUGAUCCUGAAUGUAUUUGUGUUGGUGAUGAAGCCACUGUCUUUGCAUUUAAGAACAAAAAAGUAUUUGUAGGAACCGACAUGCAUGUUCUGCCAAUAUUUUCACAUCACGAAAACCAGACUGAUGGUAGUGUAACACGGGCCACUUCUACAAUCACCCACACAUCUGUUAAUAAAGAUGGAUCAAAAGUUGCAACUUGUCCAGGUGAUAUGACAAUCAAGGUGAAAGGUAUUAAUUUUGAGCAGCAAUAAGGCCAAAUAAAGUGUUCUCACUGGAGAAACUGCACCCAUUCUCAGUGUCAACCUGGAUCCUAAAUCAGAGUUUUUGAUUUUCAUUUGUUGCUGGUCUACUUGUGGCAAGUUUCUAGCGACCGCUUCUAAGGCUGGUGAUAUCCUCGUUUGGGAUAUGCAGACUAAAACCGUGGUCAACUCGUUUCAACACGAGAAAAAGACACAAAUCUGCAAUAUGGCAUGGAACCCAUCCAUUACCACUCAAAAGGAGAUUGCAUUUUGCGACUGCAAGGGUUACCUUGGCUUGUUGGAAAAUGUUACGGCUCAGGCGGAGGGCAAGGCGAAUAAGCAAAGUGCAAAAGUGGCCAUCUCAUUGACGGCUAUUGCUGGAGAUGACGACGCAGAAAUAUAAAUAUCCAUCAGCCAGAUAAAGAAAGAUACUGGAUUCCCCACCAACGCAGAAGACGGCCAAGAUGUUUUCACAGGAGUUCAGUCGUAUUCUAUGGAUUUUGAUAUCUUGGACGACGGAGCCUCUAAGAUUAACAGCAGACCUUCAAGUCCUUUGGCUGGCCAUUCCAGGCGCCCUUAUCAAUCCUCCAGUAAAAAACGAGAGCCAUUUCAACCAGGGUCAUCACCAGUCCAUCUGCAUCACCGGUAUAUGGUCUGGAACAAUGUCGGAAUCGUGAAAUGUUUCGGAGAGGAAGGUGACCAAAGUGCCAGCAGCAUCGAAGUCGAAUUCCACGAUUCGUCCAUCCACCAUGGACUGCACAUACCCAACACACUGGGCCACACUUUGGCCUCACUUUCCAGCCAGGCUCUGCUGUUGGCCUGUCCGGCACAGGAAGAUAGCCCCAGUCGGAUUGUUUGUGUCAACUUUGCUGCCUGAGAUGGACACAAAGAGUGGGCGACCACCUUGCCACUCGGGGAAGGGGCUCUAGCCUUGGCUUGCCGGCGAUGCCUGGGUGGCAGUGGCCACCUCUAGAAAUUUGCUUCGACUCUUUUCAAAUUCUGGGCUCCAGCGUGCCAUGAUUUCUCUCCCUGGUCCUAUACUCUGCUUGGCCGGCCACGGUUCCAAACUCUUUAUGGCUUAUCAUUCUUCACUGGGCAUGUUUAGCGAACAAACUAUCGGCUAUGCACUGGUGGGCAUGGACAGGAAAUCUCCGAUUGGUUACGAAUGGCUGGCCAAUCCGCAAACUCUUCCCCUCGGCCCGGAGUGCGACUUAUCGUGGGCCGGAUUCAGUGACGAAGGAACGCUGGCCACGAUGGACAGCAGCGGCCUCCUGCAAGUGCAACUUCGAUCCGGCAUGUGGAUGCCUCUGCUGGACACGAGGCAGAACGUCAAGGGUAAAUCCAACCACUACUUUCUGAUCGGAUUGAGCGAGCUGGAGGAAUGCGUCCGUUGCGAGCUGUGCAAGGGCGCCCGCUACCCUCCCACCUUGCCACGGCACAACAUGUCCUUGCUGGACGUCAGACUGCCGCUGUGUGACGGCGCCAAUGAGAAAACUCAGCUGGAAGAAGCCCUGAUUCAGUCGACGCUGCAAAUCCAGCUGACUGGCACCUUGGACCAGACGGGAUUUGACGUGGAUGACCCCAGGAAUAAGGCCGACCGCCUGUCCAAGGAAUCGUUGAUGAAGAUGUUCACCCUGGCCUGUCAGGCCGAGAGGGAGGUCCGAACGGUGGAAGUGGCCGAAUGGAUGCCCAGCGAGCAAUUGCUCCAGCUGGCCGUCAAGUACGCAACGCGAGGCAGGAAACGCCAGCUGGCCAACCGACUGACGGAGAUGGCCGAGCAGCUAGUCAGAGAUCGUGAAGCCGAAGAAACUUUGCUAAUGGAACCGACACGAACUUCAUACCUCUCAUCAAAUGCUUCUAACAAUACUUUAGACGAUGACAGGGAUAUGUUUAUUUCUACUCCACCUGUUCUCGAGAUCAAAGGUAAACCAAAUGAAAUGACUUAAAUCAUUGAUCAUUUGAUUUAAUUGAUUCUUUGUAUUUUCAACCUACAAUUCAGGUGGAAACAAUAUGUGUGCACGGAAAGUGUGCUCAAGAAGAGAUCAAAAGUGAGAAAUCAAGCCCACGCCGAAAUCGUCUUCAUCGAUCCAUCGGCAGCUCUGGAGGUGGAUGGCGUCCGAGGCUUCUUCUCGGCCAAAGAUAUCGCAUCCGGCCGGAACGUUUUCGGACCCAUCGUCCACGACGAGGAAGUCUUCGCUUCGAAACGGGUCACCUGCUGCGGCCAGGUGAUCGCCUGCGUGGUGGCCGACAAUCUGGUGCUGGCACAGCGGGCCAGCCGGCUCGUCCGAUUGACUUACAGUCCGUCUGAUGGUCCAGCCAUCUUCACCAUUCAAGACGCCAUCAAGAACAAUUCCUUCUACCAAGGCCACAGCCGUGAAAUCAUCCAGGGAGACGUCGAGGCCGGAUUCCGGAAUGCCCAGCACGUCCUGGAAGGAACUUUCGAGAUGGGCGGUCAGGAGCAUUUCAACUUGGAGACGCAAUCGGUUUUGGUCGUGCCAAAAGGUGAGGACGGAGAGAUGGACAUCACCAGUUCCACUCAGAAUCCAUCGGACUCAAAAGCUAUUGUCAGUAUAGCGUUCUACAUGCAAAUUAUCGUAACAGAAUUUCACUAUUUAACUUCACAUUCAUAAACUACUGUAUAAAAUUUAAGUAUUAUAUCCAAAACUUCGGAAAUAUUUGCCUUCUUCUGUAAUUAAACAUUGCCAGUUGAGAAUGUACUAAAAUCUACAAUUAUUUUUACUCUAAUUUUAAAAAUUAAAAGAUAUUUGUUAGUAUUAUCCGGUAAGCGGUUGAGUACGAUUGCUUCAUUCUUCUUCUCGGAAAAAGCUUGGGCGUUGCAAAAGCUGAGCCAUGGAAGAAAAAUCGGCGUCUCUUCAAUCCGGCAUUCAAAGUUCAAGUUCUCAGCUUCAUGGACGCAUUUAACAAGAGUGUUUACACGACGAACUUAACAGCCCACUGGCUUUCUGCUAAGUGAAAGUAAAAUGAGCAAUGAUUUCACGUCAUACGUGUAUUCGGUGUUUAGCGAUUUAUUGGUGCCAACUCAUUUUUUAGCGUAGUUUUGCUGUAACAGCUGUAACGUAUUUUUGUCCAACCAUAUAUAAUCCUAUUUUCAUUUAAUUUUGUUUUAAAUAAUAAAAAUAAAAAGUGUCAAAGAUU
rnacentral:misc_RNA from 1 species